ensembl:lncRNA
CAAGUUACAGAUUGCUUUAUCCGCUUGUCUUCCCCUUAUGCCAUAGUUUGUAGUGUACAUCUCAAUUGUCAGUAGAAACCACAUCUGUUUAAGCAAGUCAGCAAUAUCAGUUCUGUUUUUUUAAAGGCAGUAAAUGAGGGGGAUAGAUCCCAAUGAGAACACACACCUACACACAUUCACACACAAGUCUUGCCAUACAUCAAUAAUUACUGGAGUGACCACCCUCUUAGAAUCUUACCUGGAAGGCCCCUGUAACCUUGGAACUUCACAGCUACGUUUCAAGUGUUAAUGUCACAUGCUCAAGUACAGUGACAUUACUUUCUUGCAAACUCAAAACCCAACAAUGCAAUACUCAAUAACAAUGUAAUACUAGAAAAAAAACAUGAGAAAUAAGAACACAAUAAGUAAGUAAGCAUAUUAUAUAUACAGGGUCAGUUUUAAUGCCAUAUUUAAAAUGUGCAGGGAUACUAGAGUGAUGGAGGUAGAUAUGUAUAGGGGUAAGGAGACAGGGAUACUGGAGUGAUGGAGGUAGAUAUGUAUGUUAGGUGACAGAGAUACUGGAGUGAUGGAGGUAGAUAUGUAUAGGGGUAAGGAUACAGGGAUACUGGAGUGAUGGAGGUAGAUAUGUAUAGGGGUAAGGUGACAGGGAUACUGGAGUGAUGGAGGUAGAUAUGUAUAGGGGUAAGGUGACAGGGAUACUGGAGUGAUGGAGGUAGAUAUUAUAGGGGUAAGGUGACAGGGAUACUAGAGUGAUGGAGGUAGAUAUGUAUAGGGGUAAGGAGACAGGGAUACUGGAGUGAUGGAGGUAGAUAUGUAUGUUAGGUGACAGAGAUACUGGAGUGAUGGAGGUAGAUAUGUAUAGGGGUAAGGUGACAGGGAUACUGGAGUGAUGGAGGUAGAUAUGUAUAGGGGUAAGGUGACAGGGAUACUGGAGUGAUGGAGGUAGAUAUGUAUAGGGGUAAGGUGACAGGGAUACUGGAGUGAUGGAGGUAGAUAUGUAUAGGGGUAAGGUGACAGGGAUACUGGAGUGAUGGAGGUAGAUAGUGUAUGUAUAGCCGUAAGGUGACAGGGAUACUGGAGUGAUGGAGGUAGAUAUGUAUAGGGGUAAGGUGACAGGGAUACUGGAGUGAUGGAGGUAGAUAUGUAUAGGGGUAAGGUGACAGGGAUACUGGAGUGAUGGAGGUAGAUAUGUAUAGGGGUAAGGUGACAGGGAUACUGGAGUGAUGGAGGUAGAUAUGUAUAGCCGUAAGGUGACAGGGAUACUGGAGUGAUGGAGGUAGAUAUGAAUAGAGGUAAGGUGACUAGGCAACAAGAUAUAACAAACUGAGUAGCAGCAGCUUGUAUGUAAUAACAGCAGCUUGUAUGUAGAUGGAGUGAGUGAGUGUUAGAGUGACAGUGUUUGUGUGUUGGAGUGACAGUGUGUUAGUGUUGGGGAAAUUAUGAUUAAAUGACUGAACAAAUUAUUUUAAAUGGAACUGUAACUAAGUAAAACUUAUACUCUGUUUUAUUAUAUCUGAUUAACAAUAUGAGUUCAUAAGAAGGGAUUGUGUGACACGGACAAGGAGUAAUUAAAGUUAAUGAACACCAUUCCAACUACGCAGAAACGAAUGGGUUGGGGACUGUGUAAACACAUAAGGUCGUUAACCUAAUGUUGAACCUACAGAAACUUAGCUCUGGGGUUUUUAGAUAAGGCAGUGAGUGCAUUCCUAGGUUUUCUGUUAAUUAAAACUGUCAGUUCAGUGGUGAUCGAUAAUGUUGAGGGGUCAAAAGUUAUCUGGGAGUAUGUUAGUAAGUUAGAAUGAACUUUUCACCUCACUUUGUCCCGGUCGAGAGGAGGGGAUUCUGUUAAAGCAAUGAAAU